rnacentral:rRNA from 1 species
AUAAUCUUUUUUAUAAAUUUGAUCUUUCAAAAAAAAUUAUGCUGUUAUCCCUACGGUAAUUAAUUUUAUUAAUUUAAAUUUUUAAGAUCAUUGAAUUCAAUAAUAAUUGUUAAAGUUAAAAAAAGUUUUUAAAAUUUUUAAAUUGCCCCAAUUAAAUAAUUUUUUUAUUUAAUUUAAAUAAAUUAAUUUUUUAAAUUUAUUUAUUAUGAAAUUCUAUAGGGUCUUUUUGUCUUUUUAAAAAAUUUAAGUUUUUUAACUUAAAUAAUAAAUUUAAAUUUUUAUUUUGAUAUAGUUUAUUUUUCAUUUAAUCUUUCAUUCUAGAUUUAAAUUAUAAAUCUAUUUAUUAUGCUACCUUUGUACAGUUAUUGAUACUGCAGCCAUUUAAAAAAAAAUCAUUGGGCAGAUUUGACUUAAAAUUUUUUUACUUUAAGAC